GUUUCAUUAGAUUACCAACAGGUUACUCCAGUUUUCGUUAAUCUGUGAAAAAUCUGAACGCUUUGAAGGAAGAGGCCUGUGACCAUUUGGCUGUCUCUCCAACUUUACUCUGAUAAAGGAUAUCUUAAUGAACUUACCAACCAAGAUGGCGACUAGAAUGCCGCUGAUCCGUUGCUCCACCACCUUCUCGAUCUCGGGUUUGGGGCCCUUGGACAUGACGGUGAGAGCAUUGGCGUGCGUGACGGAGCGCACCGUGGCGGCGCUCAGC